UACGUAGGGUGCAAGCGUUAAUCGGAAUUACUGGGCGUAAAGCGUGCGCAGGCGGUUUUGUAAGUCUGACGUGAAAUCCCCGGGCUCAACCUGGGAAUUGCGUUGGAGACUGCAAGGCUAGAAUCUGGCAGAGGGGGGUAGAAUUCCACGUGUAGCAGUGAAAUGCGUAGAGAUGUGGAGGAACACCGAUGGCGAAGGCAGCCCCCUGGGUCAAGAUUGACGCUCAUGCACGAAAGCGUGGGUAGCAAACGGG
rnacentral:rRNA from 1 species